rnacentral:tRNA from 1 species
UCCCUGGUGGCUUAGUCUGUAAAGAAUCUGCCUGCAAUGCAGGAGACCUGGGUUCAACCCCUGGCUUGGGAA